GUGGGAUUGUCAAGAGGUGAAGACUCGACUGACCAAUUUCCAGCAUGAUAUCACCAAGUUUGGGGCCAUUGUACCUGAAAAUAUAAGGCCUUAAACUUACUAUUACCAACAGGUGGCGCUAUGACUUUUUCAGAAUUUAUGAGUGUGGAUGUGUUCAGACUGGACCUGGUGUCCAUCAUGUGAAGUUUGGGGCAGAUAGGAUCUUGUUCAGCUGAGAUAUGAAUCGUUAAAUUUUCAUGGCGAAACAUCGAAAUUGGUUUGGCCGCCACAGACACGCCCUUUGAUGACAAGUCACCAUUUUCACUGGGAUGCAUCAUCAAUGUGUUUAGGCUGUUGUCACUGCAUUUGAAGUGAAUAUGAUCAACCAGGUAACAAUAGGGCAUGAAAGUGUAAAAGAUGUCUAUUUCCUGAAACCACAAGGUGGCGCUAUGACUGUCAAUGAAUAUCCCUAUGUGGAUGACAUCAGGACAGGACUGUCAUCAUACAUGUAAAGUUUCAGGCAGAUUGGAGCAUGUUGAGAAGAAUUAGACACCACUUCCUGUUUCAUGGCGAAGGAUCAGUUGUUUGAGGCUCCGCCAUGGCCACACCUUUUGGCUUCUGGUUGAGUUUUUGAUAACUUUUCAUCAGAAAGGUCUGGUGCAUGUACUGGCCAAAUUUCAGUUCUCUCAGACUUAUCCACUAGGAGCUAUAAAUUUUGACAGAUGUACAGCAAAUUCAAGAUGGCCGACUUCCUGUUGGGUUUAGGGUGUGGCUGUGAUUGACUUUUUGGUGUGUCCUGAUGUGGUGCAUAUGCCCACCAAAUAUUGUAGCUGUAAAUAAAACAUUGUGGAAGUUGGCCUAAUGACCACUUUUUCAAUUUUGCAGGUGGCGCUAUAGAGCCAUUUUUCCACACAUAUGCGCAACUCCCAUAAAAUAUCAAAUUUUUCGCCAGUCCUGAUGUGCACGCCAAAUUUCACGCGUUUUGGUUCAUGAUAAGGCCGCCAAAAAGGCAAGUCAUUUCCCGAGGAGCGAUUAAGUUUGAAAAAUUUACAGCAAAUUGAAGAUGGCCGACUUCCUGUUGGGUUUAGGGCGUGGCUGUAAUUGACUUUUUGGUGUGUCCAGAUGUUCUGCAUAUGCCCACCAAAUAUUGUAGCUGUACAUGAAACAUUGUGGCAGUUGGCCUAAUGACUACUUUUUCAACUUUGCAGGUGGCGCUAUAGAGCCAUUUUGCCACGCACAUGCGCAACUCCCAUAAAAUAUCAAAUUUUUCGCCAGUCCUGAUGUGCAUGCCAAAUUUCACGCGUUUUGGAGUAUGAUAAGGCCGCCAAAAAGCCAAUUUACUUUACGGGAGAAAAAAAAAAAUAAUAAUAAUAAUAAUAAUAAUAAUAAACCCUAGGGUUUCAAUAGGGUCCUUGGCACCGCUGGUGCCUUGGACAGUCGGUGCCCUGGCACCGCCUGUCCUUCGCACCCUCGGUGCUCGGACCCUAAUAAUAAACCCUAGGGUUUCAAUAGGGUCCUUGGCACCGCUGGUGCCUUGGACAGUCGGUGCCCUGGCACCGCCUGUCCUUCGCACCCUCGGUGCUCGGACCCUAAUAAUCAUAAUAAUAAUAAUAAUAAUAAACCCUAGGGUUUCAAUAGGGUCCU